rnacentral:piRNA from 1 species
UCGCCUGCACACGAAGCGUGUGAACGCCGC